AUUGAACGCUGGCGGCAGGCUUAACACAUGCAAGUCGAACGGUAGCAGGAGAAAGCUUGCUUUCUUGCUGACGAGUGGCGGACGGGUGAGUAAUGCUUGGGAAUCUGGCUUAUGGAGGGGGAUAACUACGGGAAACUGUAGCUAAUACCGCGUAGUGUCGAGAGACGAAAGUGCGGGACCGCAAGGCCGCAUGCCAUGAGAUGAGCCCAAGUGGGAUUAGGUAGUUGGUGGGGUAAAGGCCUACCAAGCCUGCGAUCUCUAGCUGGUCUGAGAGGAUGGCCAGCCACACUGGAACUGAGACACGGUCCAGACUCCUACGGGAGGCAGCAGUGGGGAAUAUUGCGCAAUGGGGGGAACCCUGACGCAGCCAUGCCGCGUGAAUGAAGAAGGCCUUCGGGUUGUAAAGUUCUUUCGGUAUUGAGGAAGGAGUGUAUGUUAAUAGCAUGCAUUAUUGACGUAA
rnacentral:rRNA from 1 species